AUAGCGUCCUGCACACCUCUGCAGCCCAGUCCAGUGAGUGAUGCUGUCGGGAUGGGGUGCAGAGGCUGGAGGGAAGUUGUUAAAAAGGUUUCACCAGAGGGCCGGUGAGUUACGGCCGCAGCCGAGGAUGGGGCAGAGGAGAAGAAGAAGAAGGACGGCCAUCAGUUUAUCUCUCCUGGGCCGGGGUCACGGGAGUCACGGGGCUAUCAUGCAUGUCAGGAGCUCCAGCCUUUAAUCACGGAGGAGGCACUCUCCUACUUUCUCUUCGGUCGCCUCAUUGCUUACCCCCCCAGAUCAACCGACCAAUCUGCCAGCUUCCUGUCCAAACGGCUGCUGAGUCAGCUAACGAAUGGGUGCCUGAAGAUUUGCCCGCUGGACCCUCUGUGAUUACACAAGUGCCACUGCCAGGCCUGCUGCCGCCACACUCAUGAGGACUAUCUUUCCUUGCGCACCAACACCUUUGGCCUCCAACGUAUGCACAACAGGGGAUGUUAGUUCCACGUCGAGUUCAACAGGGAGGGGACGCGAGUUGCAGCAAACAGGCCACGGCCCCUGUCUGCCCCCCCCCCCCUCAUCCUGCCUCUGAGAUCCACCUGUACAUCAGCCAGGGUUCAUGAAGCAUGACCAGAACAGGAGCCAGAGGGGACGGAGGAGGAACAUCACGAAGUACAAAGUGUCUCCGGCUCUGCUGCUGCACGCU